UCCACGAGAGCUGUCCAGAGUCGCUGAGACAACCGGAACUGCAGCCGCUGGAGCAUCCGAGAUAACACGGUGUGUAGCUGGAUGAACACAGCAGGAAAGCUGACGUUUCGGGCCUAGAUCCUUCGCUGAGACCAAGAUUUGUGCAAUUGAGAUACCAGUGAUCGUUGCCAAAGCCCUGUUGCCUGUGGAGAAGGUUAACUUUCGUGUCCUGUUGCAGUUUGUAUGAUGAAGGUGCUCCCACAAUUCGGCCAUUUGAGAAGUUACAGAUCAUUCAUCUAGCAAUACUGAAGAGCUAACGGUGAUAUUACAAGUGCACUUUCAGGUGGGAAUCUCAAUAAUUGUAGCACCAAACUCUGACAGAAUUACUCAAUUCAUCAGGACCUGGAUAUUCGCAUUAUAGACUGAGAUAACGGUCUGGGGACCUAGGUUUGAAACCCACCAUUCCAGAUGGUAGAAUUUGAGUUUAAACAAAAAAAUCUGAAAUAAGAAUCUAAUGAUGACUGUAAAUCUGUUUUCAUUGUUGGAAAAACCUAUGUCUUUUAGGGAAGGAAACUGCCAUUCUUAUCCAGGGAUAUCAAGAUCCCAUGAAUGAAUUUUUAAAAAUUAAUUUUAAAAGAAACUCCUGCAAAUACAUUUAUCUCUGUCUUAAUUUGUUUGACAACCGACAGUUCAAACUGGUUGAUGGUCACUUUCACUUCUUUUGAUUAAAGUUGUGACCAUUUCAUGGUUGAAACAAAAAAAAAAUGCAUGAAUGGAACCACAGUUGUUCUCACAGGAACAAUGCAUGCUUUGUGUUUGAAAAAAAGUACCUCAUCUCACUUAUGAGCCAGAUAUCAAAGUUGACCAGAUCCUGACGCUGUGUACCAUGGAAGUGAAAUUCUUCACCGUCUUAUCCACUUGUGUUGCUAUUUCAGGGAGCUAUGGACUUUGAAUGUCCCAAACUCCUUGAGAAUUUCAUCAAACUGAUCCCCAAUGGCAGGAAUGGACAGGGUCAGCUUAGAUUGAUGAUCAUAAUUCAGGCUCAACAAAUCUACUGGCGCAUUUUGAGAAUGUAAUUAGUGGUGAGUGUGGCCACCUCUCUGUACUGUAGUGAUACAGAUCCCCUGAUCCUGCUUGCCCCAAAUGGCUGAUAUUGAAUGAUUCCUUGGACAUGCUGUGUCAGGAUCUCCUUACUGAAUCCUGUCUCCCUUGCCCUGGCUGAGAACUGUUUCCCUGAGACUUUGCAACAUGACCAUUUGGUCGAAACAUGUGUUUGUUGACACAGCUGCUGACCAGCCCUUGACUGACUGCUGGUAAUAAGUGAUAAGCUGCCUGACUUACGCCUGUGAUAAACAACCAGGCAAGACAGGAGCACUGUGAGACAUUAGGUUCUAGUUGAGACUAUGAAGUGCAAAAAUGCCAGGGAAAGGCAGAGAUAUUGUGGCAGAACACGUCUCAGGUGCUGAAAAGCUUGUAGAGUUCUGACAGCAAGAAUGUACUUUGGACAGGCAAUUCUGCAUCUUGAUGUAGCAUUUUUAUUUAACUUCUGGCUCAUUUUGCUAGAUUUGCAAAUAUCUCUUGGUCUGGCUAAUGUGAGAAGUGGUAAUCUGAUUAAACUCACAGGCUUUGACUUGUGAAAAAUGAAGCAGUCACAUGCACACUUGUUUGAUUGGUUGCUGUUGUACUCAAAUGAAAAAUGUGCAUUUGUAUACACCAUAUCGUUUCCGGGCUCAGUGUUUCCAAAAUCUCUAGUUCAAUACAUCCCAAGUCGUCGUCGUCAUCAGAGUCAAAACAAGUGAAUACUUCGAUAGCUUCAUCUUUCUUUUUUUAAAUUCUGAAAUGCUAUUUGUAAUGAGGUAGUGUUGGCAGGCUAUUUUCUUUUACUUCUGAUGCCAUGUGUGGAUUUUCAGGGAUGGUGUUGGUGGGAAGAUGCGGCAUGUACCAGGGAUGAGGCACUAACAUUCAGAGCAAGUGCUGAACAUGCAGAAAAGGCGAGAUUAACAGGUACCUUGGAACAAGCAUAGUUGGAGAAGGUUGGGUGAGAGGACUGAGAGAAAGCACUUUGGCAGCACCAGGACACGUGUUUGAUUCCAGCCUUGGGUGACUGCCUGUGUGGAGUUUGCACAUUCUCCCUGUGUCUAAGUGGGUUUCUUCAGAGUGCUCCCACAGUCCAAAGAUGUGCAGGCUAGGUGGAUUAGCCAUGUUAAAUUGCCUUUAGUAUUUAGGGAGUGGUAGUUCAGGUGGGUUACUGUUUGGGCUGGGAUGCUCUGAGGUUUGGUGUGGACUUGUUGGGCUGAAGGGCUGUUAUGGUUUCAGAGUGUUGAACAGAUGGAGAAUCUGAGAUAACAGGCCAAGUAGAACUGAAGGAACAGGAAGUCUGAUGUCUCAGGCCGAGACACCCUCCUUCGAGUGUUGAUCAGGCUGUUUUUUAAACUUGGUUUAAUGAGAGUGCACCAUUCCUGGAAACACUGCAAUACCAAGAUGAUGUGUGGAGAGGAUGGAGCAAGCCCCUCUUCCAAUUCCUGCUCUAAAAAUCAGUUUAACAUAGGGUCCUUAAGUAAAGGACAUGUCAGAUAUUAAAGCUGAUAAGAACAGAUUUUUUUUUUAUUUGAAAAAAAUAUACUUCAUUCAUAAGAUGUACAAAAAAAAACAUAUUUAUACACCUACCAAGUCAUGCAAGCUGCUCCUUGUUGCCCAGGGGGCUAUGUAUACCAACUAAAGGAAAAAAAAACAAAACAAAGCAGAAGCAAAACAAAAGAAAAAUACCCUGGCAGUCGUCUCCCCGCACAGUCCCCGUUGGCCUCCCGGACCAGUUG